UGUACAGUAAGCUUUGCUCACCAAGGGAGUCUUGCUCACCUCCAAGCCUCAAACAGAGGAGGUGUGGCCAAUGUCAACUUUUCAAGCAUUAAUACUUAUGCUUGCAUUCGGGUCAUUUAUAAUUGCCCUGUUGACAUACAUCAAUAAAAAAUAGACCUCCCCUUGGCCCUGAAGAAGUUUAAGGGAAUGGUCUAUCUGCAAAGAAAGAACCAAUGAGCAAGCCCUUUGAUGGGCAGCUUAGUACAAACAAUGACCUGUGGGUGUUGGAGCACCCCUG
rnacentral:sRNA from 2 species